AGAGUUUGAUCAUGGCUCAGAAUCAACGCUGGCGGCAUGCCUAACACAUGCAAGUCGAGCGAGAAAGGGUAGCAAUAUCCGAGUACAGCGGCGCACGGGUGAGUAACACGUGGGUAAUCUGCCUCGAAGUGGGGAAUAACACCGGGAAACCGGUGCUAAUACCGCAUAAUCUGAUUGGAUCUGCGGAUUUGAUCAGCAAAGGAGCAAUUCGCUUUGAGAGGAGCCCGCGGCUGAUUAGCUAGUUGGUGAGGUAAUGGCUCACCAAGGCCACGAUCAGUAGCCGGUCUGAGAGGACGGUCGGCCACACUGGAACUGAGACACGGUCCAGACUCCUACGGGAGGCAGCAGUGGGGAAUUUUUCGCAAUGGGGGCAACCCUGACGAAGCAAUGCCGCGUGGAUGAUGAAGUCUCUUGGGACGUAAAAUCCUUUCGACGGGGACGAAAACCGCAAGGUUUGACGGUACCCGUAGAAGAAGCCCCGGCUAACUCCGUGCCAGCAGCCGCGGUA
rnacentral:rRNA from 1 species